rnacentral:rRNA from 1 species
GGGUUGUGAGGUUAAGCGACUAAGCGUACACGGUGGAUGCCCUGGCAGUCAGAGGCGAUGAAGGGCGUGCUAAUCUGCGAUAAGCGCCGGUAAGGUGAUAUGAACCGUUAUAACCGGCGAUACCCGAAUGGGGAAACCCAGUGUGACUCGUCACACUAUCAUUAACUGAAUCCAUAGGUUAAUGAGGCGAACCGGGGGAACUGAAACAUCUAAGUACCCCGAGGAAAAGAAAUCAACCGAGAUUCCCCCAGUAGCGGCGAGCGAACGGGGAGGAGCCCAGAGCCUGAAUCAGCAUGUGUGUUAGUGGAAGCGUCUGGAAAGGCGCGCGAUACAGGGUGACAGCCCCGUACACAAAAGCGCAUGUGCUGUGAGCUCGAUGAGUAGGGCGGGACACGUGGUAUCCUGUCUGAAUAUGGGGGGACCAUCCUCCAAGGCUAAAUACUCCUGACUGACCGAUAGUGAACCAGUACCGUGAGGGAAAGGCGAAAAGAACCCCGGCGAGGGGAGUGAAAAAGAACCUGAAACCGUGUACGUACAAGCAGUGGGAGCCCCACCACCAAAGCAUUCUCUGGUGUUGAAGGCCCUGCAAAGCAGCAUCGCGGUGGCGGAGCGUCGUUUGCGACGCCCAACACACAAAACAAGCGGUGAGUGCUUUGGGGUGGGGUGACUGCGUACCUUUUGUAUAAUGGGUCAGCGACUUAUAUUCUGUAGCAAGGUUAACCGUAUAGGGGAGCCGCAGGGAAACCGAGUCUUAAUUGGGCGUUAAGUUGCAGGGUAUAGACCCGAAACCCGGUGAUCUAGCCAUGGGCAGGUUGAAGGUUGGGUAACACUAACUGGAGGACCGAACCGACUAAUGUUGAAAAAUUAGCGGAUGACCUGUGGCUGGGGGUGAAAGGCCAAUCAAACCGGGAGAUAGCUGGUUCUCCCCGAAAGCUAUUUAGGUAGCGCCUCGUGAAUUCAUCUCCGGGGGUAGAGCACUGUUUCGGCUAGGGGGCCAUCCCGGCUUACCAACCCGAUGCAAACUGCGAAUACCGGAGAAUGUUAUCACGGGAGACACACGGCGGGUGCUAACGUCCGUCGUGAAGAGGGAAACAACCCAGACCGCCAGCUAAGGUCCCAAAGUCAUGGUUAAGUGGGAAACGAUGUGGGAAGGCCCAGACAGCCAGGAUGUUGGCUUAGAAGCAGCCAUCAUUUAAAGAAAGCGUAAUAGCUCACUGGUCGAGUCGGCCUGCGCGGAAGAUGUAACGGGGCUAAACCAUGCACCGAAGCUGCGGCAGCGACGCUGAUGCGUUGUUGGGUAGGGGAGCGUUCUGUAAGCCUGUGAAGGUGGCCUGUGAGGGUUGCUGGAGGUAUCAGAAGUGCGAAUGCUGACAUAAGUAACGAUAAAGCGGGUGAAAAGCCCGCUCGCCGGAAGACCAAGGGUUCCUGUCCAACGUUAAUCGGGGCAGGGUGAGUCGACCCCUAAGGCGAGGCCGAAAGGCGUAGUCGAUGGGAAACGGGUUAAUAUUCCCGUACUUGGUGUUACUGCGAAGGGGGGACGGAGAAGGCUAUGUUGGCCGGGCGACGGUUGUCCCGGUUUAAGCGUGUAGGCGGGUGUUCCAGGUAAAUCCGGAACGCUGUUAACGCUGAGGCGUGAUGACGAGGCACUACGGUGCUGAAGCAACAAAUGCCCUGCUUCCAGGAAAAGCCUCUAAGCAUCAGGUAACAUCAAAUCGUACCCCAAACCGACACAGGUGGUCAGGUAGAGAAUACCAAGGCGCUUGAGAGAACUCGGGUGAAGGAACUAGGCAAAAUGGUGCCGUAACUUCGGGAGAAGGCACGCUGACACGUAGGUGAAGUGAUUUACUCAUGGAGCUGAAGUCAGUCGAAGAUACCAGCUGGCUGCAACUGUUUAUUAAAAACACAGCACUGUGCAAACACGAAAGUGGACGUAUACGGUGUGACGCCUGCCCGGUGCCGGAAGGUUAAUUGAUGGGGUCAGCGCAAGCGAAGCUCCUGAUCGAAGCCCCGGUAAACGGCGGCCGUAACUAUAACGGUCCUAAGGUAGCGAAAUUCCUUGUCGGGUAAGUUCCGACCUGCACGAAUGGCGUAAUGAUGGCCAGGCUGUCUCCACCCGAGACUCAGUGAAAUUGAACUCGCUGUGAAGAUGCAGUGUACCCGCGGCAAGACGGAAAGACCCCGUGAACCUUUACUAUAGCUUGACACUGAACAUUGAGCCUUGAUGUGUAGGAUAGGUGGGAGGC